CGAGUGACAUCCGCCUCUUAACAUUGAAUCAUCGCCGCAGCUCCCAAAUUUUAACAGUUGGGUUGAUAUAUGGUCGAUGUUUUGCUUAUAUAUAUAUAUGUAUAUAUAUAUAUAUAUAGUGGAUGGUGGUGUAUGGCCGUUCUUAGUUGGUGGAGCGAUUUGUCUGGUUAAUUCCGAUAACGAACGAGACUCUAGCCGCCUAUUAAAAAGGUGCGUGGUUCUCUGCUGCUUGAAUCCUUCUUAGAGGGACAAGCGGCUCCGCACAAAACAGAGCGAUAACAGGUCUGUGGUGCCCUUAGGUAUCCGGGACCGCACGCGCGAUGAACUCAACGAAGCAGCGUGUUUUUAUCCCUCUCUGUAAAAACUGCGUAACCCGUAAACCCUCCUUCGUGAUUGGGGCCUGCAAUCGUUCCCCUUGAACGAGGAAUUUUAAGUAAGCGUGAGUCAUAAGCUCCCGUUGAUAAC
rnacentral:rRNA from 1 species